GCCGGGUUAGCUCAGUUGGUUAGAGCAUGGUGCUAACAAUGCCAAGUUCACAGGUUCAAUCCCUGCUCACUGCA
rfam:Pelecanus crispus contig73856, whole genome shotgun sequence.